rnacentral:sRNA from 1 species
CAAAGGAAGGGGUCUUUCCUUUUGUUUCGGGAAGGGUAAUAAUAAAAAAAGGUAUUUCCCAAACCCCAGAUGUGAACAUACCAAACUGUUGCCUCGGCGGGGUCACGCCCCGGGCGCGUCGCAGCCCCGGAACCAGGCGCCCGCCGGAGGGACCAACCAAACUCUUUUCUGUAGUCCCCUCGCGGACGUUAUUUCUUACAGCUCUGAGCAAAAAUUCAAAAUGAAUCAAAACUUUCAACAACGGAUCUCUUGGUUCUGGCAUCGAUGAAGAACGCAGCGAAAUGCGAUAAGUAAUGUGAAUUGCAGAAUUCAGUGAAUCAUCGAAUCUUUGAACGCACAUUGCGCCCGCCAGUAUUCUGGCGGGCAUGCCUGUCCGAGCGUCAUUUCAACCCUCGAACCCCUCCGGGGGGUCGGCGUUGGGGACCUCGGGAGCCCCUAAGACGGGAUCCCGGCCCCGAAAUACAGUGGCGGUCUCGCCGCAGCCUCUCCUGCGCAGUAGUUUGCACAACUCGCACCGGGAGCGCGGCGCGUCCACGUCCGUAAAACACCCAACUUCUGAAAUGUGACCUCGGAUCAGGU